rnacentral:misc_RNA from 1 species
UCUCCGUUGGUGAACCAGCGGAGGGAUCAUUACCGAAGUUACCCUUCAAAACCCAUUGUGAACCAUACCUCUUGCCGCGUUGUCUCGGCGGGAGGCGCUGGGGCCUCGGCUCCGCGUCCCCGCCGGCAGCGCCGAACUCUAAACUGCAAAGCGUACUGCAUGUUCUGAUUUACAAAAAAAACAAGUUAAAACUUUCAACAACGGAUCUCUUGGUUCUG